AUUCUGCCCAUGCGGGGAAGGAUGAGAAGCUUCGACUAAGGUUCGACUUGAGCGCCAGCGAGAGAGCGUUGCCGCAGGCAACGACCCGAAGGGCGAAGCGCGCAGCGCUGAGUAAUCCUUCCCCCA
rnacentral:sRNA from 2 species